GGCUCCAUAGUUCAGAGACUACAGCACUGGUUUUGGAAACCAGGGGUCUUGAGUUCAAAUCUCGCUGGAGUCU
rfam:Chelonia mydas contig191573, whole genome shotgun sequence.